GGGCCUGUAGCUCAGCUGGUUAGAGCACACGCUUGAUAAGCGUGGGGUCGGUAGUUCGAAUCUACCCAGGCCCACCA
rnacentral:tRNA from 3 species